GCUGCACCUACAGGGCUGCACCUACAGGGCUGCACACUUCAGAGGACUUUUUAUAGACAGCGCCACCUACCGCAAUAGAUGAUCACUAACGUGCACAAUUUACGUUUUAAAUUGGUGAUUUCACUCAAAAUACACUUACAAUACAAAAGGCUUAUUCAGGAAGAAUUCCCCGUUCAUUUUAACCCCUGUCAGUUUUUCUACACAGCCGGAGGCUGCACUUUCAGGAACACACUGAUAGGACCGCAGUUUAAGGGCCGCCAACUUCUUCUCGGGCCCCGUUGUUCGUGUUUCCCACUGUGUUGAUGCUAAACGAAGUAGCAGCAUUUAUCGCCAUGAUGGACGACGGUAACCAUAUGGACAUCCCUUUGAUAGAGAAGUGGUGGUGUCUUCUUCCCAUGGAGCGUUUCCAAACAGAGGGGAUGUACUUAGUGGCAAACACUCUACUUGGAUUCAUCAGAAACCUUGUUGCCAGAUGCCUGUCUACCUGGAUAGUGAGGAACAACAGGACAAGCUUUUUGCAUUCUUAAAGACUGUACUGCACAGAGGACCACAACACAACUGAGCUUCACAGAUGAAGUUGUGUUCAUCUUUGAUGUUCUCUUUCCAGAGGCCAUCAUAUAUGGCCUGUCUAUGCAGGACAAUCUGCCCCUGCAUGAGGCUGAGCAGGUCUUCUUCAGUGGUCCAGCUUACCAUCAAAGUGAAGUGGAGGAGUUUUGUCAAAGGAUUUAAAAAGACCUGAAGAAAGAAGGCAGACUGUUCAGUUGAAGGAAGUGAGAUCAGAGGUUUAGCAGCGGGAGUCAUAGACUUCACUUACUUGUGUGUGCGUGCGUGCGUGCGUGCGUGCGUGCGUGCGUGCGUGCGUGCGUGCGUGCGUGCGUGCGUGCGUGCGUGCGUGCGCGCGUGCGUGCGUGCGUGCGUGCGUGCGUGCGUGCGUGUGUGCGCGCGUGCGUGUGAGAGAGAGGCACUGGAGAAGGUUAGUGAACACAGUGAAACAGAAAUGUGUAUGUGUGUUUGUCUGCAGACAUUGCGUGUUGAGUUGUUUUAUGUGUCCUUGUAAUGAGAAUAAAGAGUUUUUCUCGCAUUUUGCUUUGGAGAGAUGCCAGUAAUUGUCAUUGUCCUGCUGAAGGUGGCAACUGACAUCAAGGACUGCUGGGAAAUGGGGGUUAGAUGGGUGGGGGGGGUGCCUGACUCGCAAUGUUUAGGUACAUGGUACAUGUCAAACAUCCACAUGAAUGUUAGGACUCAAAGUUUCUCAGCAGAUUAUUGCAUUGUAACAGGAUGAUUGAUGUUAUUCACUUCACCUGUCAGUGGUCAUAAUGUUGUGGCUGAUUGAUGUAUGUCCUGACAGAGCUGCAUUACAUGCAAGAGGUGGAAACAGUAACCUGCUGAUUUCAUGCACAUGUUCUGGUUGUACCAACAACUAUCAGAGUUUAUACAUGCAAUAUUUAACACACUAAACUCAAAUCCAGUUAUUUAUAUGCCACCAUUGUGUCCAGGUUUUGUCCAGUCUGCUGGUAUCUGUGGCUCCAUGGGUGCACAUUUGUGGUCAGUUUGGUCCAUAUCCACAAAACUCACCAUCAUUCAGCAAACAACUUUUGCAGCACUUUGCUUCACUUUACAUUCAUCUUUGGAUUGACCGUGUCUUUAGAUUCAAAUAUCUGCUGUUUAGAGUGAUGAAAGAAUUGUGUAUUGCUCUCACCAUAAGCUAAACAAAGCUUACAUGACUUUCAGUCUCAGUUGGAAGCACAAUAUAAGCUGUAUAUAAAUUACAACGUUAGCUCUGUUAAGCUUGCUCAUGUAUAUGCCACUUAUUCAAAGUUUAUCUUGAUUGCAAGUGCUGUAUUCACAGUUUCUGCUUAAAAACUGCAUGUUCAAUAAUAUUUAGAUUUUAUGCUAUUGCAUAAACGGUUGCAUUUGUAGAGAAUGUGUCUAACCAUCAGACCAUUUACAUGUUAUCCAAAUGACCCAAAAUAGUUAUAAGGCUUUUAUCUUAUUUGAGCCAAAAGAUGUAUUUAAUUACAAUUUGUAAAACCUCAUCAUGCUCUUGUCUUUCUAUGGUGAUGAAAUUCAGAUUUAAUAUAAAAGAAAUAGCUUCAAGGCUGUACUUGAUUCACAUUCACCAUCCCUGCUAAUAACCUGCAACAACAUACUGAGUAUAAGUCACAUUUUGGAGCUGUACUUUAUCUGGCUGUUGCUGGUGUACACUGUUGUCCUCUGGAUGUUAUUAGUUUUUAAAGGGAACUUGUAGCUUUUUCUUUAAUGGUCAAAUUGUUUUUUUUUCUUUGCUAUUUUGUGUCUUGUAUUCAGUUGUAUUUGUGUCAUUGUGUGAAGUAUGGCUGUCAUUGUAAGGAUCUCCUUCCCACAGUAGAUGUGUCAAUUGCCCAGCAGGAUCAUACCUGCUUGGGUGGCUGUAUUUUUCUUCUGUAUUCUGUAGUGCUUUAAAAAAAAAAAAAGAUGUUUAUUGUGAUUUGGACUAGUUGCUUUUGUACUUGCUUGCUGAUGUCUGUAAAGUUGAAUGGGGGAGUUCAUUCCAGAGGAAAAGUGGAGGAACUACUAAUGUGAAGAUUGAAUAUUAAGAUGUACUACUUGUUAGAUGUGUUCCACAUCACUAUGUAUGUUAUUUUCUAUGUUUUGCAUGACAUGCAGGUAAUUGGAAUGAUUUAUGUUGUCUGGAUGUUGUCAUUAAAC
ensembl:lncRNA